rfam:Picea glauca, whole genome shotgun sequence.
GGGUGCGAUCAUACCAGCAUUAAUGCACCGGAUCCCAUCAGAACUCCGUAGUUAAGCGCGCUUGGGCUAGAGUAGUACUGGGCCCGGUGAUGCCCGUUGAAGAGGGGGAGGGGGCGUGAUCC